AUAAGGUGGACUCGUCGGCAUAUGCUGCUGUUAUUGAGUAUACCAAGUACCAACUCAAAUUAUGGUUUUCUUAUUAUGAAAUAAAUGUAUGUCGUCGCUUGGCAAACUCUGUUGCUCAUGAGCUUACUAGUCUUGGCAGGAUGUACAGACCUAACAACUAUGAGGAAUGGGAGGCCGGUGUACUGGCCCUUGUGGCUGCCUGUGCUUUGGGUGAUUCAGCCCAACACCGUUAAGUUAUAAAGCAAUGUUUUUUCUCGAAGGAGAAGCUUUUAGUAGAUGUACUUGUGCUUAUGCUUUACACAUUUACACUUGUAUAAUCAUUCUGAUCCCUGAAUUACAUGCUUGAUGACACGGUAUUAGUCCAGUUAGUUUGGUGAUAGUUAUUUUUAACAACGGGGCUGGAAUAAUUGUAUGUUGUAUGUUAUGUUCAACUCAUUAACUAGAAUUUUUUUAUUUCUUGAUUGCAGGAUCCAAAGAACUAGUUGGACUGGACUCUAGAUCACGGACAGUUUAGUCUUCGCAGUUAAUUAGGAUGGCUAAAUUACAUUUGAGUUUCAUUUGAUUGAUAUUUGCUAUGAUAAUUAUGAAUUUACAUAUUAUACGUAUGGUUUUGAAUAUUGUAAUUGAAAGGCUGUAUUUUUUUUACGGUUGCAAUAGGCUGUUACCAGAACACACUUUUGGUUGCCACAUGCUAGCACCACUACAAAUAUAGUGUUGCAUCAUAUCUUAGUCGCUAUGCCUACCUGUUUUGUUGCACAAGGAUGCUGCAGCAGAGCACUUUAUAUUGUCGCAAUAGUUUGGCACCACUAUUUUUUGCAUGAUGCAAUAACUGUUUGGCGCCACCAAAGUAAGUUUUGUUGAAAUAGAGUAUUGCCACGAAAAGUUUAAAUUGUUGCAAUAGUUUCUUGCUACAAAGAUUUUACCUGUUGUGAUACCUAUUUAUCACCACCAAAACAAGUAUGUUGCAGUUUCCUGUUACGACGACUAGAAUAUUUGUUGCCAUAAGUUAAUUCCACAAGUGCAGUGGGUCGUGGCAACAUGUCUAAUGCCAGGAAAAAAAAGGAUUGUUGCCAUAGUUUAUUGCCACAAGUGUGGUGGGUCGUGGCAACAUGCCAAAUGCCACAAAAACAAGGAUUGUGGUCAUAGUUUAUUGCCACAAUUGACUAUUGCCACGGAAGAGUAGUGCGCCACGAAACGGCUAUCGUUGCCAUAGGUUGUUGCCACAAGUGUCUAUCGCUACGAGAUAUCGGUUGCCACGAUUCGUUACAUGUUGCAUUAAAGCUAUCUCCACAAACCAAAUUGUGGCAUUAGGUGAGUGUUGCCACGGGAAAACAGGUGGCAACUUCCCGCAUGGAUGUUGCAAUAGCAUGCUUUAUUGCCACAAUUGCUUUUUCGUGGCAAUAACCUAUUACCAUGUGUCCAGUCGCAACGGCUGCCAACGAAUGUCGUUUCGUGGCAAUAGGUACUUAUCGCCACGAAACAUCAUGUAUUGCAACAAAUGAUUUUGUUGUAAUAGACCCGGAUCCUUGUAGUGUGAUGUGGUCUUAGACAAACGACCCAAAUCCACCUCAUUCAAGCCGGCAGAAGAAAUAGUCAAAUUCCAAGUCCACCCAACGGACCCCAAGAAGACAACAUCCAUAGGAGCACAACUAGACCCAACGGUUGACGCCGCUCUACGAGAGUUCCUGUGCGAGAAUUGAGAUAUAUUCGCCUGGCACCCUUCUAAUAUGCCAGGAAUCGCACGCGAGUUGGCCGAACACAGCCUCAAUAUAUCGAAGGGACACAAACCGGUCAAGCAAACACUGCGGUGCUUCUCCGAACCCAAACGCCAAGCUAUGGGGGAAGAGCUAGCCAAGCUAAUCGAGGCCGGAUUCAUUAGAGAAAUAAAACAUCCGGACUAGUUGGAAAAUUUGGUGAUGGCACCAAAUAAGGACAAAUCCUGGCGCAUGCCCCAAGGAUCCCUUCCCCCUCCCCCGCAUCGAUCAAAUCAUUGACGCCACCGCAGGACACGACUCACUGUGUUUUCUUGACGCAUAUUCCGGAUACCAUCAAAUCAAAAUGAAGGAAUCCGAUCAAGCUGCAACGACAUUCAUCACCCCAUAUGGGCCAUUCUGCUUCAACACUAUGCCCUUCGGGCUCAAGAACACCGGCGCCACAUACCAACGCAUGAUUCAAACAUGCUUGGAGAAACAGACCAGCAAGACAGUUGAAGCUUAUGUGGACGACAUCGUCAUCAAAACUAGGCACGUUGAAACACUAAUAGACGAUUUACGUCUCACAUUCGACAACCUCCGCGUGUAUGACAUUAAGCUCAAUCCGAAGAAGUGCGUUUUCGGCAUCCCUGCUGGAAAACUGUUGGGCUUCAUCGUUUCCAAUAGAGGAAUUGAAGCAAACCCAGCCAAAAUCCGAGAUUUGUCACAAUUGGCUAAGCCAACAGACCUUAAACAAGUUCAAAAGCUCGCGGGUUGCAUAGCAGCUCUAAGCCGCUUUAUCUCCAGAUUGGGAGAAAAGGCACUGCCACUCUAUCACCUUCUAUGGUGAACCGACCACUUCGAGUGGACAUACGCGACAACAGCUGGACUGGA
rnacentral:lncRNA from 1 species